GCAUUAAUGGGGUAGUGGUAACCUGGGUCGUUGCCAUUUACGGGUUACGUAAUCGUGAUUCGACCCGCCGGGGGUUCGAUUCCCUCUUAAUGCA